UGAUAGCACUCACUUAACAAUAGUAGGUGACAGUCUGUUAAAUUCAUGGCACUUUGCCAGAGCCAAUUAAAUGCAUGGAAUUUGCAUAUUUGAUAAGCACUUGGUCAACUAAUUAGUGGAAUUUACAGCUACGAGUGAGAGUGCUCGCAUAAAAUCAAGUUAUUAUUCGAAUUGAUGCAGUCCGAGAUAACAAGACAAAAAAAUAGAAUUGAAAUUCAAAACCAUAAAACCAAAAAGUGAGCAAGUUUCUGGCAGAGCGGAAAACAUUCGGGAAAGUUAAUAAAGCCAAGGAUAAGCACUCCAGCUCUGCCCUGAUGACAACUUGACGUAGCAGAAGCUGAAGCAGCCACGGUAGCAUCAUCAUCAACAUUUCAUCUCAUCAUCUCGCAACCGCAGAGCUCAGUGAUGCGACAAGCUGAGGACGCGAAAAGCGGGUUUAUUUUUAUUUUUUUUAAUAAGUCAAAAGAAAAUAAAUAAGUAUGAAGUCAUUCCCGUUGCCAACUGUCAACACAGUUCUGAUGAUGAAGAUGAAGAAGACAGUUGUUGUUAUGGCGAAGGAAUUUUGUACAAUUUCGUGACAGAUCAACGCCUUUUAGAUUUCGUAGAGGUAAUUUCAUUUAUGCAACUGUCACAGCAACAAACUCAAUCAAAUAAACGUGAAUAUGCGAGCCGAUUUCA